rnacentral:rRNA from 1 species
UGGGGAAUUUUGGACAAUGGGCGAAAGCCUGAUCCAGCAAUGCCGCGUGUGUGAAGAAGGCCUCCGGGUUGUAAAGCACUUUUGUCCGGAAAGAAAUCCUUGGCUCUAAUACAGUCGGGGGAUGACGGUACCGGAAGAAUAAGCACCGGCUAACUACGUGCCAGCAGCCGCGGUAAUACGUAGGGUGCAAGCGUUAAUCGGAAUUACUGGGCGUAAAGCGUGCGCAGGCGGUUUGCUAAGACCGAUGUGAAAUCCCCGGGCUCAACCUGGGAACUGCAUUGGUGACUGGCAGGCUAGAGUAUGGCAGAGGGGGGUAGAAUUCCACGUGUAGCAGUGAAAUGCGUAGAGAUGUGGAGGAAUACCGAUGGCGAAGGCAGCCCCCUGGGCCAAAUACUGACGCUCAUGCACGAAAGCGUGGGGAGCAAACAGGAUUAGAUACCCUGGUAGUCCACGCCCUAAACGAUGUCAACUAGUUGUUGGGGAUUCAUUUCCUUAGUAACGUAGCUAACGCGUGAAGUUGACCGCCUGGGGAGUACGGUCGCAAGAUUAAAACUCAAAGGAAUUGAC